GACGCACCGUGCAACCGUUGUUCGGAAUCACUGGGCUUAAAGGGCGCGUAGGCGGCAGACCAAGUCCGGGGUGAAAUCUUUCGGCUUAACCGGAAAAGGGCCUUGGAUACUGGUUUGCUAGAGGGAGGUAGGGGUCUGUGGAACUUCUGGUGGAGCGGUGAAAUGCGUUGAUAUCAGAAGGAACGCCGGUGGCGAAAGCGACGGACUGGAUCUCUUCUGACGCUGAUGCGCGAAAGCCAGGGGAGCAAACGGG
rnacentral:rRNA from 1 species